rnacentral:rRNA from 1 species
UACGUAGGGCGCAAGCGUUGUCCGGAAUUAUUGGGCGUAAAGAGCUCGUAGGCGGCUUGUCGCGUCUGUCGUGAAAGCCCGGGGCUUAACUCCGGGUCUGCGGUGGAUACGGGCAGGCUAGAGGCAGGUAGGGGAGAACGGAAUUCCCGGUGUAGCGGUGAAAUGCGCAGAUAUCGGGAGGAACACCGGUGGCGAAGGCGGUUCUCUGGGCCGAUACUGACGCUGAGGAGCGAAAGCGUGGGGAGCGAACAGG